GGUGACUCGCAGGAAAAUAUGAGCGGAACGCUGUACGAAUGUCAACAGCAGACACCAACAUGGACUAUUGGACUAUCUGCUACAACAUAUUUGAGUGAAAAUGCAGGAUAAAAGACAUCGUUUAUCUUGCAGCUUUUUUGCAGGUGAGCAGAAAGAUCUUCAAGACGAGUUUCAGGGCUGGGUCGCCCCAUCAGUGAAGACAAUCGUCCUGAACGAGAAGAGACUUCUGGUGCUCUCACAGUCAUGACUGCACAAAAGAAGAGCCAUGCAUCGAUAAUAAAACCAGAGAAAAGAAAUGGAAAUACAGGACCCCAGCAUUUGUGGCUUAUUUCACACAUUGCCUGUGUUUUUAUUUUAAAAAUGUGCAUGCAAAUGCUUUGUAAA